AUAUUUUCAAAUACCGUCAGGUAAUCGAUUGUUGAUUUUGUACAAUCGAUUGUUGAAAUUAAAAUCUGGAAAAGACUUUUUGAACGUUGCUGAGUAAUCUAUUGUUGAUUUUAUACAAUCGAUUGUUGAAAUUAAAAUCUGGAAAAAGAUUUUUUGAACGUUGCUGAAUAAUCGAUUAUUGAUUCUGUAUAAUCGAUUAUUGAUUCUGUAUAAUCGAUUGUUUUACGUAAAAUCUGGAAAUGAUUUAUUGAACGUUGCCAAUAAUCGAUUGUUGAUCUUGGAUAGUCGAUUGUUAAGCGUAAAAUCUGGGAUUGAUUUUUGGAACGAUUGGCAAACAAUCGAUUGUGGCUUCUUGACAAUCGAUUGUCACAGAGUAAAA
rnacentral:lncRNA from 1 species